CACUGCCACCCACUAAAAGCGGAGCAUGCGCAAAAUCACUUGCAGCUCGUUAAUUUAUUUCUUUCAAAGAUUUCGCUUGGCCGAAAAUAAACCCAUGAGCGCAGCUUGGAAACUGGAAGUGGAACUUCUUGCUCGGCCAAACGCACACACUCAAA